AACACAUGCAAGUCGAACGGUAACAGGUCUUCGGAUGCUGACGAGUGGCGGACGGGUGAGUAAUGCGUAGGAAUCUGUCUUUGAGUGGGGGACAACCCAGGGAAACUUGGGCUAAUACCGCAUAAGCCCUGAGGGGGAAAGCGGGGGAUCUUCGGACCUCGCGCUGGAAGAGGAGCCUACGUCUGAUUAGCUAGUUGGUAGGGUAAAGGCCUACCAAGGCGACGAUCGGUAGCUGGUCUGAGAGGAGCGACCAGCCACACUGGGACUGGAGACACGGCCCAGACUCCUACGGGAGGCAGCAGUGGGGAAUUUUUCGCAAUGGGGGCAACCCUGACGAAGCAAUGCCGCGUGAAUGAAGAAGGCCUUCGGAUUGUAAAGCUUCUUUCGUGGAGGACGAAAAGGUGGGGUGGCUAAUAAUCGCCUGCUGUUGACGUGAAUCCAAGAAGAAGCACCGGCUAAACUCCGUGCCAGCAGCCGCGGUAAUACGGGGGGUGCAAGCGUUAAUCGGAAUCACUGGGCGUAAAGGGUGCGUAGGCGGUGCAUUAGGUCUGUCGUGAAAUCCCCGGGCUCAAACCUGGGAAUGGCGGUGGAAACCGGUGUACUAGAGUAUGGGAGAGGGUGGUGGAAUUCCAGGUGUAGCGGUGAAAUGCGUAGAGAUCUGGAGGAACAUCAGUGGCGAAGGCGGCCACCUGGCCCAAUACUGACGCUGAGGCACGAAAGCGUGGGGAGCAAACAGGAUUAGAUACCCUGGUAGUCCACGCCCUAAACGAUGAAUACUAGAUGUUUGGUGCCAAGCGUACUGAGUGUCGUAGCUAACGCGAUAAGUAUUCCGCCUGGGAAGUACGGCCGCAAGGUUAAAACUCAAAGGAAUUUGACGGGGGCCCGCACAAGCGGUGGAGCAUGUGGUUUAAUUCGAAUGCAACGCGAAGAACCUUACCUGGGCUUGACAUGGUCUGGAAUCCUGCAGAAGAUGCGGGAGUGCCCUUCAGGGAAUCAGAACACAGGGUGCUGCAUGGCUGUCGUCGAGCUCGUGUCGUGAGAUGUUGGGUUAAGAUUCCCGCAACGAGCGCAACCCUUGUCCUUAGUUGCCAGCGGUUCGGCCGGGCACUCUCAGGGAGACUUGCCGGCUGACAAACCGGAGGAAGGUGGGGAUGAGCGUCUCAAGUCCUCAUGAGCCUUUAUUGUGCCAGGGCUACACACGUGCUACAAUGGCGCGUACAGAGGGAAGCCAAGCCGCGAGGUGGAGCAGACCCCAGAAAGCGCGUCGUAGUUCGGAUUGCAGUCUGCAACUCGACUGCAUGAAGUCGGAAUCGCUAGUAAUCGCGGAUCAGCAUGCCGCGGUGAAUACGUUCCCGGGCCUUGUACACACCGCCCGUCACACCAUGGGAGUGGAUUGUACCAGAAGCCGUUAGCCUAACCUUCGGGAGGGCGAUG
rnacentral:rRNA from 1 species